CUUUAGCUUGCCGAAAUACGUUGGACUGUUUUUUUUACCACAAUUUGUACCCCUAUCAUGUUUUUAUAUUGAAGAAAGAAAUAAAGCUUUUGUAUUUUACACAUGCUGGUAUCCAGAAGUGCUGAGGAUCUCAUGUUCCUGAGUGAGUGAAGCCUGUUUCUCUGUCUACCUUGUUUGCGGCAGCAACACCCUGACAGCACCUGGACCAGUGGGGGAUCGUAAGUUUGUUCAUGGGAGUAGGGGACUUCAAUGUGGCUCUUGAUCCUCUAGUCGAUUGCACCACCGCUGCUGAUCCUGGCUUUUCUUUAUUCACUUCAUGGCAGCUGACGCUGGGCCUCAAUGACCUCUGGAGAUUAGUAGCAGUGUAACCAUGCUCAGACCGAUCGACCAGCAAGAAUCCAAGCUCACCACAAACAGAUGACCAGAUGACCAACGCUUCUAAUGGAGUGAAGAAGGCUACCUAUUCCUCAGCAUCCCGUGGUUGGAAGAUGACAAGGAUCAAGUUGUCAAGACUGGGUUUGGAUGACAUCGUGAGACAGGAAAACCCAGAACCAAAGGAUUCCCUCCAACAUUUUGGAAAAGGCUUUGGGACACCACAAAGGACGCUUUAAAGAAACUGUCUCAAGAGAAGCUACAAAUGAGGACAGUAGCUCCAUCAAUUUUCUAAGCCCUAGACUAUCCCUUUACUGGCAACAGUAGAGUCAGUGCUAUAGCUACAUAGUGAACAAUAAACCAUGAUCUAUGUGACAGCUGACAGCAAAAAUCUGGGGCUACAUAUUGUAAACUUAAUAACUUGUGAAUACUGUGCUUAGAGAAUUACCAAUCCAGCAAGCAAAUCUAAUGUGGUUUUCUGGUAUUAGGAUCAAGAGGUGGAAUGUUAGGGACAUGAAAAUGACAUACAUAUUAUUUGCUGUACUUGUGAUCCUAGUCCAAGAAAGCCACAUGGGUUUAGACAAAGGAAGGAUGGAGUCUCAUACCUGGGGUCUCCCAGUCAUGUUCAAAGGGGGCCAAUAGGUGGGCUUUGUAAUAUUAGACAAAGACCACCUGGGGGGCUGUCUAAGGGGCGGAGACAACAUAAUAAAAAGCCCAUUGAACAGGGCCAAGCUCUCUUUCUCUUGCUGGGUUGCACACCUGGUCAUUCAACUUCCUGGUGUGACAUCUUUCCAUUCAACUUGCUGUUGGGCCUGAAUCCUGAAACAAAGAACUACAGCCUUGCCCCAUGCCUGGCUUGGUUAAUCAUACUUGCUGGAAAAGGUUCCCAGAAGCUAAGUAUCUCAGUAUUAUAUUCUUUGUGUGUGUAUGUGUAUAUAUAGUUGUAUCUUUUAAGGAAAAUCCACCCAAAUAGCCAACAAAUAGUGUUUUCUACUAUAUUUGUUGUA